rnacentral:lncRNA from 1 species
ACAUUUUAGUCUUUACUUUCAAUCACAAUCAGCAAAAUAACAAACAUAUAAAGUAAUAAAAACAACAUUACGAGUUUACACGUCUAAUAAUCAACUAAGAAACCAUUUAUAAUGUUUUCCUCUGUUCUUUGCAAUCAAAUAUACAGCUAUCAAAAACAAAAACCGAAAAGAUAAAUCAUUACCAGAGGCGACGAAAAGCAAACCAUCUUAAUUAUUCAGGAAAAGAUUAGGAUAUAACUCAUUGAGUUACAGUAGUAUUAGGUUACCCAUCUGACUAAAUGCAUCUAUUUUAAAUUCAGACAGCCAUGUACUGCAGCCUCUCUUUGUCAAGUAUUUUCAUGAUAAGGACGAGACCCUGAAGAUUCCCCCUUACCCUACGAAUAAAAGGAAAUGUAAGGAUAUCUUUAAAGAAACAUAAGUAUAUACACAAAGAUCUCUUUAAGUUUGUUUGUACAUAUAUGUGACUCAGCUAAAUAAAUGUGGGGCAUGUUAAAAAAUAAUAUCAAAAGAAUCAGAACAUGUCCAUAAAAAUACAAGACUACAAUAAAACAAUUUUAAAGCAUUAGCUGCGGAGGCAUGUAAUGGAAACCCUUGCUUGUUAGCAAGUUGAAAAGGCUUCAAGUGAAAAAAGAUAAAUAUAAAAUUUAUGUCUAUUCUUGGAGGUCAAAUGUAAACAGUGAGAAUUGUAAUCUAAACAUCUAAAGAUCUUAGGAAUACAUGAUGUUCAUGAAGAAUAAUAUAAAGUUUAUUGGAGGAAAUACAAACUAUGAAGCGAACCCCUGUGCGCUUGCUGUAUAUUAAUCAUAAAUAAGGGCUGAGGAAGGUUGGGUUCCAAAAACUGUGAUGAAAUUUUGGAUUUUCUAACAAAGAAGUUCCACAAAUUCAUGAAAAAUCCAAACAGAGGAAAUCAUCUUUUAGAAAAGAUUACAGAUAUGAAGAAAGUUUAAACCCCUAUAAAAGCUGAACUGGCCAGUGAAGAAAGGAGGUUGUUUGGAGAUAAUGAUGGGAUGGUAAUUGAUAUUGAUGGCCCUGCACUUCUAUGCCUAAACCAACUCGGCAUCUCCUCCGCCUCAUACAAUAUGCUGAAUAUUCCAAGUUCAUAAAACAUCUUCUGCCAAAUACAAACCAUCAUAAUAAUUACAUUAUAUGCAUUCAGAUAAAGAUAAACACAGACAAUUAAGUUAUAACUAGACAAAACCUGGAUUUCAGAUUCUGAAGAAUUAGUUCCCACACGCCUUUCGUUGAGGAAGUCUAAAUUAGUCCAGCCCAAGUUACGUAACACCUUUUCUUCAACACUCCUCAUUUCUUGGAUUUUGAUCACACCUUCAAUUCCGUAAUCGUUCAACCCAAGUGAAGAAUAUGCCCAGUCUAAGAACCCUAUUGAUAUCUUGAGUGGGGACAUUUCCGGAACAAAUACAACUUUGUUUGUACGAUGCACAUAAGCAAUAUUAAAUAACAACUCUUUUAGUGUACGUGGAGGAUACUCGACUAACUUCAAAUUUUUACACUUCUUCAUACUUAGUAUCUCAAGUCUAGGAAGGGUUCUCACACAACUAGGCAUGGAAUUGAAAGGAUUGCCAUCUAAAUAUAAUUCCUUUAACAUGGAUAGACAACUGAAGUCCAUGGGAAAGGAUUCAUUGGACAACUUGUUCUCUGUAAGUGACAACGUUACUAAAGACCUUGGUAAAGACAUUGCAGAGGACUUCAAAUCACGUGGUAUAUCACCCACAAAGGCUCUGUUUAUGCCAAUGUUGGUAACCGUGCACAUUUCCAGUGAAUCCAUAUCCAUAUUCUUGAUUCCAGAUUCACCAAGAUUACAACCAUUUAGCAACAUUGUUUUAACCUUCUCUAACAUGCCUAUAUUUCUUGGAAGUUUUUCAAGUUUCAUGCAAUCGCUCAGAUCGAUGAGGAUAAGCUCAACACAUUGCCCAAUUGAUUCACAAACAUCAACCAAACCAAUGCAAUUUCUAAGUAUUAACCUCUCAAGUGCAGGGAGUUGGUCAAAGUCACCAACACUAUGAAGUUGUUCGCAGAAACUUAAAUUAAGAAUCUUCAGUGAAGCAAACAACCUUUUCUCUUUAAAGCACGAGCCAUCCAACUACAAAAUGGAAAUAAGUUAGUAAUAGUAUCGUAUUGAAUUUCAUCAACUCACAUGCAUGACUAAUAAAUGAAGAUAACUUUACCUUUUGCCUUUUCUCAAGUCGUUGUGGAUUGCUAUAACAACCGGAAAACGAUUCAAUAUUGCUAUAUGACAUGUCAAGGGCAACCAGAUUCUGCAUAGGUAAGUCUAAAGGUGUAGACUUUAAACGAAACCCAUUCAUACACAACCAUUUUAUUUCUUCUGGAAAGUUCUCAUAAGACCCAUUCAUGUACACAUAAUUGAGUUGUAGUAGCAUCAAAUUAUCCAUGUUACUUAAUGCAUCUGUUUUCAGCUCAUACGAUGCUCCCAACUUCUCUUUCUCAAGCAUGCGCAUGUCAAGGGCAAGGCCUAGAAGAUUUCCCUUACCCUAAUAAGAAACAGAAUGCAAAUAAACAAAUUAGGCAAUACAAAAUAUUUUGGACAUGCACACUACUAAAAGCAUACAUGGCCUCGUACCUUUUUUUGUUUCAACACUCUGAAUGACUCCUUAUGACACCAUAAUCGACUUCGCUUCCAUGGCUUAUCAGGUGAUUCUUGAUGUACUUCGAAUCUGCCCAUCUCUUGAACCAACUGAUGCAUCUUCAAUUCAUUAUUCCGUCCAAUACUAAGAAGACAUUUAUCAAUGAGAUUCGUAAUUCCGGAUCUUGUGUUUAUAUCACAUGCCUCCAAUAUUGUUUCGCUAAGAUCUUUAUCUAUUCCAACAAAAAAACAAGCAAUAUGCUUAAACAAGUCCUUAUCGUUUUUGGAUGGCAAAGAGUUGAAGCUCAUUCUCAAGACAUUAUUUAUACGAUCAUUUGUUUCUUUCUUUAGCCCUUUCAUGCACCCUUCCCAAUACGCCACACCUCGAUUAUGAAGAACCUUGCCCAAAACUUCAAGAGCCAAUGGAUGUCCUUGACAAUACUCCAAAAGCUUAUCUGACACCUCUUCAUAACCUUCCUUGGGAUGGUUGCACAUGAAUGCAUGGGAACACAAAAGUUGUCGUGAUUCAGUCUCAUCUAAGCCUUCAAGGAAGUGUUCUACAUGCUUGGGUUUAAUGUUUGUUUUAAAUAGUGCACAACUCUCUGUUAAGCAUUUGUCCUUUGUUGUUAUUAUAACUUUGCUUCCGGGAUGAAAACCUUUGCUUCCAAGUAAUGCAUCCAACUGAUCAAUACUAUUGAUAUCAUCAAGAACAAGGAACAACCUUUUACGAGCUACUACGUUCUCUAUCAUUGAUGUGUAUUUUGAAACAUCAUAAACUUGAAUUGAACUUGUUUUUGAAAUGUCACCGCACAGUUGUUUUUGUAUAUCAAGUAGCCCAUUAUACUUUCCAUCACAUCUCCUAGUGAUAUCUUCAAUAUAGCUGCUUUUGUUGAAUUCAUGACAAUAUAGCCCAUAGACAUGUUUGGCUAAAGAUGUCUUCCCGAUCCCGCCUAGACCCGAAAUGGUGAGUAUGUCUACCGUAUGUGAGGAUCCAUCUUUCAACCAUGAAGUGAUGAAGUUAAUGGAAUAGUCCAUCCCAAUAAAUAGAGGUUGAGCACUUUUUAAGGGUACAUGUAAUCUACGGUAGAUGUCCUUCACAAUUUCUUCAAUAAACUCUGUCUCAAACCUGAAACUUGAUUUAAUAAGAAUUACAAAACACAAUCCAAAAAACUAACAAACCAGAUUUGUUGAUUUUAUUUUUAUAAAGAUCCAAAUCAAAAUUAUAUCACAAGUGUUAGUGUUAGAUAUUUGUAGAAUAGGGUUUGUUUUCUUUUAGGUUACUUUAUUUCUAUUUUCCUAUUUUAGGUAGUAGUUGGUUUAUAAAUGAAGGUUUAACCUCUUUAUUAAUGACAAGAUAAUAUUCCAAAAACCUGAUUCGUUCACAACAACUAUUAGUUUUAAACUUUUAAGUAAGUUCUUCACGUCAAACUAUAUUGUCUUUUCGUUCGAACCAUAUGCAUAUCUAAUGUGUAAGGUCAUAAAUAUUUAUGUAUAAUAAGACCAAAACUACCAGUGUAAUACAAGUUUUCACUAAUGGGCCUUGUAACUUCACUAAAUUUUCUACAAGACCGUCAAACUUGUACUUAACUAUCAAUGUGAUAAGUUUGAAAAAAAAAAAGCCAGUAGGUUAUCCUUUACUACUUACAAAAUAAGUUAUUUAUCAUAAAAGACGACCCAUUUAAAUAUACAGGUCACAGGUUGGCGGGUUUGGAACAUAAACCCAUAUAUGACCCACCAACCCAUUUAUUUAUACGGGUUCACAUGUUGGCGGGUUCGUGGGUCAGAUUUGGGUUUGUGGGUCCAAAUUUUAGAUAUUUAAGUCUUAAACAUCCAAAUGAAAAUUAAAAACAUUCAUAGAAACAUGUUAUAGACUUAUCCUUAUAGGUUACAACUUAUGACCUUAGACCAUCCACCACGAGUAAUAAUGUCAAAACAAUCAAAUGGUCUAUGAAUAAAUGGUAUAUAUUAUAUAAUACUUAUUAAAUAUUAAUACUUGAUACAUAAAUACAUUUAAAAAUAUAAAUAUUUUUUUUAUUAAGAAUAUAAACGGGUUGGCGGGUCAACCUGUUUAUUUUUUGAGAAACCCAUAUAUGACCCGUUUAAUAAACGGGUUGGCGGGUUGACGGGUUAGCGGGUUAGCAGGUUGAAAAACUCAACCUAAAUCUAUUUAUUUCGUGUCGUGUCGCGGGUUGUGUCGCGUGUCGUGUCGAGAAUUGCCAGCCCUAGCUGUAAAGGCAUAUCCCACAAAGUAACAUAAAAAAUGACAACCUUUGCAAUAAUUUUACUUCCAGAAAAGACAACUCAUGAAGAUUAUCUAUAUCUUUGUUGAUUUUGGUUCUCAAGAAUGAACAAUUAAAAAGCUAUUCUUAAAAUAACCAAUGAAAAAGAUAGAGAUUCCAAUAAGGUCUGUAUGAACAAGUAGCAGCAAAACAUUGAACCAUGAGAAUCAUAGCAACUCAGCAAUCACAUUUUAGUCUUUUCUUUCAAUCACAAUCAACAAAAUAACUAACAUAUAAAGUAAUAAAAACAACAUUACGACUUUACACGUGUAUUAAUCAACUGAAAAACCAUUUAUAUAGUUUUCCUCUGUUUUCGGCAAUCAAAUAUACAGCUAUCAAAAACAAUAACCAAAAAGAUAAAUCGUUACCAGAGGUGACAAAAACUAAACCAUCUUAAUUAUUCUGGAAAAGAUUAGGAUAUAACUCAUUGAGUUACCGUAGUAUUAGGUUACCCAUCUGCAGCCUCUCUUUCUCAAGUAUUUUCAUGUUAAGGACGAGAACCUGAAGAUUCCCCCUUAUCCUACGAAUAAAAGGAAACGUAAGAAUAUCUUUAAAGAAACAUAAGUACAUAGAGAUCUGAUACAAAAUGCUAUGAAAACAGAUAGAUGGCAAUACAAUACACCAAGAUCUCUUUGAGUUUGUUUGUACGUAUCUGUGACUCAGCUAAAUAAAUGUGGGGUAUGUUAAAGAAUAAUAUCAAAAGGAUCAGAACAUGUCCAUAAAAAUACAAGACUACAAUAAAACAAUUUUAAAGCAUCAGUUGUGGAGGCAUGUAACAGAAACGCUUGCUUGUUAGCAAGUUGAAAUGGCUUCAAGUGAAAAAAGAUAAAUAUUAAAUUUAUGUCUAUUCUUGGAGGUCAAAUGUAAACAGUGAGAAUUGUAAUCUAUACAGCUAAAGAUCUUAGGAAUAAAUACAUGAUGUUCAUGGAGAAGUAGCAUAACACUAAAAACUUAUUGGUUAAAGUCCAAUACAUGAUUAAGGGAAUUUAAUGACCUCUGGUAGUCAAAUAAUACUUCAAAGGUUAUAUAAACUUUAUUGGAGGAAAUACAAACUAUGAACCGAACCCUUGUGCAUUUGCUGUAUAUUAACCAAAAAUAAGGGCUGAGGAAAGUUGGGUUCCAAAAAAUGUGAUGAAAUUUUGGAUUUUCUUACAAAGAAGUUAACAUGUAUUUGACAAUAAUUGCUUAAGAUAUCAUGUAUUUGACAUAAAAAUAAACAUAAAUAAAUAAAACCAAAAGACCUUGAUAACAAGUAAAAACCCUGAAUUUAGAGCCCUAAAUGGAUGAAAUAGGGAUCCAUAAUUCCUGACUCUAAGAUUAAAUAGGUAGAGAAAAAUAGACAGAUUCCCAUCAUAUCAGCCCAACCACAUUUUGAUAUUGCCAUUUCCAAGCAUUGAUUGCAAGAUUAUGACUCCUUUUAUCUUGUUACAUCCUAAACAAAUCAAAGAUAUAGUAUAUAACAUACUUGGAUAUGUAUGCCCUUUAUUCAUGUAAUGAGAGAAAGGUUUGGGUGUCAAAAAG